AUACAUGUCCCCCAAUAUACACGUCGUUAAUGUGACACAAUACCACGCUACAUUUCCAACAGCUGUGUCAGCUCAGCAUAGCAAGCAUUGGCGUGAUGAGAAUUUCGUUAACUCUCCUUCUGCACGCCUCGCUGUAUCUGCACGCGAAGAACGUGCCCAGCCUGCAGUGAUCGAUAAGCGGAUCAAUGUGCAUCACACCGGCCGCCACGUCUUCCUCCAGGCGGGAAGGGAACACUUCUCCGCCAGACUGAGACAGGGUGUCCCACACAACCAAGCGUCAGCCGCCAUCUUCGAGACUGGAUGUCCCACUGUCGUCGUGAUCAAUGGCGUCUAGCAGUGUUCCUUCUCGUCAUGAUGACGUGUGAGUGCGUGCUCAUCUACAUCGUGAUGGAAGGCGAGCACGUUGCAGCGAGGCAGUCGGUUGCGUCAAGAUACACUGAACACAAGGGAGCACAUGCCAACACAACAGCUCCACUGACCACCAGAGCAAAUCUUCUCAAACAGGUUCUGCUAAGGGACAGAACACUGUAGUGAUGAUAUGAAGCAUCUGCCCACGCCAACGUCGUGAAUGGAACAAGUGGCUGUCCUCCACCCAGCCUGACUUCAAGCACAACCGUACAAUUAGCAACAGCGCCACCUUUACUGAAACACCGGCUGCAGCACAGCACGGACUGGCAGACACGCGAUAGUGGCUCUGUAGGGCGGGACGCUCUACCUCCCUUUACAAGGUCCGCCCUGGAUUACAGAGUGCACGACGCAGCGAUUGAGAACCCGACUAUUGACAUUAUCAGACGAUUUCUGUCCAAACAACGAAACCCCAGCAGGUGUCUGCGUGUCUCCAGACCACAACAGCUCGUGUCAGAAGCCAAGUGCGCAAGCCUGUGGCCACCAUACAAAACGAUGUGGAAUAUCCGGAUCCACUUUUUCUUCCGCUUUUGAGUUCCAUUUACUCCAGCUUCACUCCUAUAGCAGCAGACGUACAGCAAUGCAUGACAACUACUGUGAUAGACACAUUCUUUCUUCUACAAGUGUUUACUCAUGUUGAAGGCGCACAACAGCAAUACCGCAUAUGUUCUUACAUCAAGGCGAAUGAUGUCGUCUGUCCUGGAUGUUUUUGUUGUAACAUAUGUAACUGCCUAAAGUACACACUUUUCAUUUCCUCGUAUUCAAGUUUUGUUAAAGAUUUAUUUGCUUACAAGUAGCGGCAGGAGAAGCAGACGCGAGGGCCCGCCCCAGUCAUGCCGGCAAUAUGUACCUGCCAUGAGUGCUGGUUAUAUCGGUACAGUUUCAAAACAGUUCUGUGAUAAGUUCGAUGCUUUAUUCAGUGAAUAUGUUUUUUAUGAUUUGUUUUAUAUGUUGACUCAUGAAAACAUAUUCAGGUUAUUCAACUGAUCAUGUACGCAAUUCACGAGCGUGUUACCAUUGUUACAAAUUCACUAUUAAUUUCGUCGAAGAAAUAUGCAUUUCUCAUGGGUUGACUUUGCAGGGAAUAUUGAAGUUCAUGGGGGGUGUUGUAUUAAAAUGAUACCUCUUGGUGUUUCAUCGAAUGUAUCUGUACACGCAAAUGUCUGAAUAAUACAGACGAUCGGUGCAUGGGUGAAAGUUUACUAUCACUUGCAAAGCCGUGUUGUUCAGUAAUGUCACACUGGACCUGUUUCUUCUUAGUAUUUUUUUUUAUUUUACAAUAAAUAAACGUUGUUGGUGCU
rnacentral:lncRNA from 1 species